rnacentral:rRNA from 1 species
AUUGAACGCUGGCGGCAUGCCUUACACAUGCGAGUCGAACGAGACCUUCGGGUCUAGUGGCGCACGGGUGCGUAACGCGUGGGAAUCUGCCCUCUGGUACGGAAUAACUCAGGGAAACUUGAGCUAAUACCGUAUAAUGACUUCGGUCCAAAGAUUUAUCGCCUGAGGAUGAGCCCGCGUAGGAUUAGCUAGUUGGUGAGGUAAAAGCUCACCAAGGCGACGAUCCUAGCUGGUCUGAGAGGAUGAUCAGCCACACUGGGACUGAGACACGGCCCAGACUCCUACGGGAGGCAGCAGUGGGGAAUAUUGGGCAAUGGGCGCAAGCCUGACCCAGCUAUGCCGCGUGAGUGAUGAAGGCCUUC